rnacentral:rRNA from 1 species
GAUGCCUGCCCGGUGACAUGACGUUUAACGGCCGCGGUAUCCUAACCGUGCAAAGGUAGCGCAAUCAAUUGUCCCGUAAAUCGGGACUAGUAUGAAUGGCUAAACGAGGUCUUAACUGUCUCUUACAGGCAAUCAGUGAAAUUGAUCUCCCUGUGCAAAAGCAGGGAUAACUACAUAAGACGAGAAGACCCUGUGGAACUUCAAAAACAGCAACCACCCCAACAUACAUACACACCCACUCCGGGCUCACUUAACCCACGGGCGACUGGUCUGCAUUUUUUCGGUUGGGGCGACCUUGGAGCAAAAUAAAACCUCCAAACACUAGACCAUCCCUCUAGACUGAGAGCAACUCCUCAACGUACUAAUAGUAACCAGACCCAAUAUAAUUGAUCAAUGGACCAAGCUACCCCAGGGAUAACAGCGCAAUCUCCUCCAAGAGUCCAUAUCGACGGGGAGGUUUACGACCUCGAUGUUGGAUCAGGACAUCCUAGUGGUGCAGCAGCUACUAAG